rnacentral:rRNA from 1 species
UGGGGAAUAUUGCACAAUGGGCGCAAGCCUGAUGCAGCGACGCCGCGUGGGGGAUGAAGGCCUUUGGGUUGUAAACUCCUUUCGCUAGGGAAGAAGCCUUUUUGGUGACGGUACCUGGAUAAGAAGCACCGGCCAACUACGUGCCAGCAGCCGCGGUAAUACGUAGGGUGCGAGCGUUGUCCGGAAUUACUGGGCGUAAAGAGCUCGUAGGUGGUUUGUCGCGUCGUCUGUGAAAUCCCGGGGCUUAACUUCGGGCGUGCAGGCGAUACGGGCAUAACUAGAGUGCUGUAGGGGAGACUGGAAUUCCUGGUGUGGCGGUGAAAUGCGCAGAUAUCAGGAGGAACACCGAUGGCGAAGGCAGGUCUCUGGGCAGUUACUGACGCUGAGGAGCGAAAGCAUGGGUAGCGAACAGG